AUGGUUAACCCAAAGAUCAGAGGCCCCUCCGCCUUCCUCCUCCUCCUGGCAGCCCUCCCAGGGCUGCGGGCGGCCGAGCAGCUGGUCGAGUCCGGAGGGGGCCUCCAGACCCCCGGGGGGUCCCUGACCCUCCUCUGCAAGGCCUCCGGCUUCUCCAUCAGCAGCUACGGCAUGAUGUGGGCGCGACAGGCCCCCGGGAAGGGGCUCGAAGCUGUCGCGAGUAUUACCAGCAGUGGCAGCACAUACUACGCGCCGUCGGUCAAGGGGCGCUUCACCAUCUCCAGGGACAACUCCCAGAGCACGGUCACGCUGCAGAUGAACAGCCUCAAGACCGACGACACGGGCACCUAUUUCUGCGCGAAAAGUACUUGGAGUGGUGACGGCAGCAGCCCCGACUCUGGGCAGGAAAAGUGCAGGUGA